GGAGGACGGAGAAGCGAAACCCGACGUUUCUGUGCGCUGCGUGUCUCAGAGUCAAGCUUUUGUUACCUCGUGGAAUGCUUGUACUCUGUGCUGAUUCGCAGAAGACUUUUAAGGGCUGAAAGGAUGUGGCGGAAAAGCAGGACAAGGGGCCAGGAAGCUCGUGGCAGAGGUGAGUCCAGGUGGGACCUCUCCCUGCCCUGCGGCUGUUCCGGGUCCAGCCUGAGACAGACACUGCCCUCCUAACUGCCCGCGGUUGCACAUGCAAACUGCUGAGAUGGAGCUGGUCCUUAGCAAAGCUGCAAGGGUGGCUAAGCUUCCUCUCUCAUUCUUUUCCCACCUCCUGCCACUCACUCUUCCCCCAGUUUGAGCAGCGGGGCUCCACCCCCUCAUGAAAUCUGUACCGAGCAGAUAACGCCAAUCAGCUAUGGCCUUAUUCUGAUGAGCAAGUAUAUUAACUCUUCCAAGAAUGGUCACAUGGGGACAUAAACUUCUGGGGGCAAAGGGACCUGAAAACCAAAUAUUCCAACAUUGAAAGAUGUCCCAGAACGCGUCUAGCUCAGUCCCCCGCGCUGAGCUCCCGACGAGGAGCCACACAUCGCCUGUCCUGGAGCAGCUUUCUUCGAGGGGGCGGCUGGCGAGAGCCCCCCCAGCUGCGCGGUCAUGGGAGGAGGGCCCUGCAGAUACUCUUGCAUCUCAUCUUCACUGAGACGGUCUGAAGUAGGUACUGUUAUCACCAUUUAUGGAGAAAGAAGCUCAGGCGCAGAGUGAUUAAAAUACUUGCCCUAAAAUGCAAAAAAAAGAAAACUUGCCCCAAAGCCGUACAACUAGUAAGUAGAAAAAUCCCUCAUGAGCACAGGUCCAGAUAUCGGAACCAGAAGUUCUGGAGCCCACAUUCAUUCCAUUCCCCAAACUGUCCGCUCAAGGUGAGCGGGAUUCUAAGCCCCAAGGCUCACCUGCCCGGGGGCCCACACCUUUUCCCAGUUGUUGAAACACUAAUGGAGGCGCUGCUGAGAAGGGAUUCUGCAGGUGUUAAUUAAGGUCCCAAAUCAGGGGACCUUAAAUUAGGGGGUCUCUGGGCGGGGCUUCCCUGAUCACGUGAGCCUUUUAAGGGGAGAAUGUUCUCCAGCUGGUGGCCGAGGGCAGCGUUUCAGAGCAGGGGAGGCGCUCUCCUGGUGGCCUUGCAGGUGCGGUGGCCGUGUUGGAGGCCGUGGGGCCUGUGAAGAGGCAGCCACUUGGAGGGGGCGGCCUCUGGCCAACAGCUGGCAAGGGAGCAGGAUCCUCAGACCAGGCCUGCGAGGAACUGGAUGCUGCCGACCACCUGACGGCGUGGAGGGCCCAGCACAGGACCGACCACGCGCUGCCGGAUGCUGUGAGAGGAUCGCGCGGUCCCGCCUGGGGGCUGCGUGGCCGUGGUGCAUACACUGCGCCGGAACACUCCGCCCGCCUCCCCUCUGCUCUGAGGUCAGUCCCGCAGGGCCUGAGACAAGAAGGAUUUUAUUAACUUUUGAAUUAUUGUAUGCGCUUUUAAAUUCUUUAUUUUCUUGAGGUAUAGGUGACUUACAGCAUUGUGUUAGUUUCAGGUGUACAACAAAGUGAUUCGGUGAUACGUGAUUUUUUUUCGGAUUCUUUCCCUUAUUACAAGACCUUGCACAGGGUCCCUGUGCUGGACAGGCGGUCCUUCCUUAGCUCUUUUAUAUUCAGUGACGGGUACGUGUUGAUCCCAAACUCCUGGUUUAUCCCUCCGGCUCCCCCUUUCCCCUUUGGUAACCAUGAGUUUGUUUUCUGUGUCUGUGAGUCUGUUCCUGUUUGUUUGCAAGUAAAUUCAUUGUAUUGUUUUUUAGAUUCCAUGCAUACGUGAUGUUAUAUAAUACUUGUCUUUCUCUGACUUUCUUCACCUAGUGUGAUAAUCUCUAGGUCUAUGCAUGUUGCUGCAAAUGGCAGAAUUCUGUUCUUCUGAAUGGCUGAGGACUAUUCCAUUGUAUCUAUGUGCCACGUCAUCUUUAUCCAUUCUUCUGCCAGGGGACAUUUCGGUUGCUUCCAUGCCUUGGCUUUUGUGAGUGAUGCUGCUAUGAACACUGGGGUGCCUCUGUCUUUUCGGAGUUUUUACCUUUUCUGGGUGUAUGCCCAGGAGUGGGAUUGCUGGAUCAUGGAGUAAUUCUAUAUUUAGUUUUUAAGGAACCUCCUUGCUGUUCUCCCCAUGGUGGUUGUACCAGCUCACACUCCCACCAACAGUGGAAGAGGGUUCCCUUUUCUCCACAUCCUCGCCAGCAUUUGUUAUUCGUAGACUUUUGGGUGAUGGCCAUUCUGACUGGUGGAGGGGGUACCUCAUUGUAGUUUUGAUUCCUAUUUCUCUAGUGAUGCUAAGUAUCUUUUCAUAUGUCUGCCAUCUUUUCUUUGGAAAAAUGUCUAGGUCUUCUGCCCAUUUUUUGAUUGGGUUGCUUGGGGUGUUUUGCUAUUGGGUUUUAUGAGCUGUUUGUCUAUUUUGGAAAUUAAGCCCUUGUUGGUCGUGUUGUUUGCAAAUAUUUUCUCUCAACCCAUGGAUUGUCUCUUCAUUCUGUUUAUGGUUUUCUUUGCUGCGCAAAGGCUUGUCAGUUUGAUUAGGUCCCAUUUGUUUAUUUUUGCUUCUAUUUCCUUUGCCUUGGGAGACUGCCCUAAGAAAACUGCUGCAGUUUAUGUCAGAGAAUGUUUUGCCUGUGUUCUCUGCCAGGAGCUUUAUGGUGUCCUGUCUUAUAUUUGUCUUUAAGCCAUUUUGAGUUUAUUUUGGGGCAUGGUGUGAGGUGUGUUCUGAUUGCAUGGACUUGCAUGCAGCUGUCCAGCUUUCCCAGCACCACCUGCUGAAGAGCCUGGCUUUCCCCGUGUGUGGUCUUGUCUCCUUUGUUGAAGUUUAGUGGUCUGGAAGCAGGUGGGUUUAUUUCUGGGCCUGAGACAAGGAUUUGAGAGGAAGUUUGUUGGGGGGAGGAUUCCCCAGAAGUGGGAGGGUGAGGGGACUGAGCGGGGAAGCUGGUUCGCCUGGGGUCUGCAGGGGACCCCAGCACCGGAGCUGCCCCCUCCAGUUGCUGACGGGUCCUCCUUCCAGAGGGAUGUCACCGGCAGGGCGUGCAGAAGAGGGUUUGGGAAGGACAGCGUCUCGGGAACAGGGGCAGUGCUGACGUGUCAGGGCCCGAGACGCUCGUUAGGACACUCCUCCCCACCUGGUGAUGCUGCCAGGUGGCCUGGGGCCCCGCCUUGGCCCCAUAGCCUGGUGACUGCUUCUCCGUACUUUUCAGAUACUGGCACUUUGCAACUCCUGCAAUGUUCACAGUCCCCAGGUGUCCUCUUCACUGGCUCAGCAUCUCCCAUCUCACCCCGGACCCCCACGAAACACGAAAUCUGAGUCCUUUGUCAUCUAGGGAGGCGCUGGCUUCGGAACUGGUUCGGUGGUUCUCAGCUGGGAACUGUACCGCUGCUCCGACCUCGUCAGCUUCCAGGCAGCCUGCCUGUCCAGGUGACUCACAUGAGCUGCCCUGGUUCUCUGUGCAGCUGCAGAGAUCUGUCUGGCCCUUCCUGCCCCUGUGCUGGUGGCUCUGGGACGGUAGGGGGGACACUGCGUCACUGGGAGCCCCCAGGCCUGGUUCUGGGGAGCGGGCAUGAUGGUCACGACCAGUGUGCUCAGAAUUUAAAAUACGUACCUCAGCGACAGUGACCAGGCAGGCAGAACCGGCUCUCAGCCAUGGUCUCGGCGCCUGCCCGUCACCUGGGCCUCGGGCCUGGGCCUCUAGAAGCACUUGCUUCUCACUGCUUCUCUCGAAGGACCAGCCACCUGCUCUGGGAAGCUCUCCUUGGCUCUUCCUUCCAAGCCCCUCCCAGGCUGCUCUGGGGGCGGGGCCGAGGCAGCCCCUGCAGGUGACCCGGCCUUUGGGCUGCACUGAGAGGGGCUGGACGAGGGGCAGCUCCGGGCCCGGGGCCGUGACGUCAGGGCCGAGGGCUCCCUGUGGACACACGGUGUCCACCUCGGCCUUGAGCCGGGAGAGCUGUGAGCCCCACGGGGCUGGGGAGGAAGGAGACCUGCGGAGCCAGCGCCCAGGGGUCGUGGCUACGUACCAAACACAAAGUUGUCGGGCCUGAAGAUCUGGCCGAAGGGUCCAGACCUGACCGAGUCCAUGGUGCCCGGCUCCAGAUCCACCAGGAUGGCCCGGGGCACAUACUUGUUACCUGUGGGGACAGAGCUGGACUUAGACCUGCGGUUGGCCGAGGAGGCCCGGACGACGCCCUGCCCUGUGCGCCUUUGGCGGCAGAAUUCACCCCAGAAGGUGCCAGCCCGAGGCACCGGGGGAGCUGCGAGGAGGUUUCUGCUCUACGAGGGGGCUGAUGGCUUUGCUCGGUCGUGACAAGCAUGCAGGGGCCUUAGGACGUGUGCUCCCGAGCAGCGGGCGCUCAGGGUGGAGGCGGGCAGGACGGACGUGGCGUCCCCCCAGAACAGAAAGCAAGCGGAGGGGCCCCCGGGUCCCAGCAGUCACCAGCGGCUUCAUUGUAGUACACGUUGAUCCUCUCCAGCUGCAAGUCGCUGUCGCCAUGGUAACUGCCAGUGGGGUCGAUGCCAUGCUCGUCGCUGAUGACCUCCCAAAACUGGGGAGAAAAGGGGAACCACGUGAUGGCCUGGCAUCCUAGGUGCCGGUAAGGCGGGCCCUUUGCGUCCUCUCUCGUCCUUGCCGCAGGGGCGUGUGGGCUGACAGUCGAGGUGUCCUAGACAGACUGCCAGCUGCCCGCCCCGUUCCUCCAGCGGCUGCUGCUCAGGGCUUGGGAAUCCGCAGGGCAUGAGCCAUAAUAUGGCGACAGACUGAGGAGCCGGGAGGGGCCCGAAGGAGGGGGGGUGGGCACAGCAGACGCCCUUCCAGGGGAAUCGUGGGUGCUGGGGAGGCCGCCACCCCCGGGCAGGGCUGCGGGUCAGCCUGGUGGAGGAUGGACGGGUCCUGGCAGGACCCAGGACCAUUGGGACCCCGCCCUGUGGCUGCCUGCAGGCAUCCCUGUCUCCUGGCACAGAUGGGACCCAGCCCCCCAGCAGCGCAGCUCAGCUCUGACAUCUGCACUGCCCUCAGCAGCGGCAGCAGCAGGAUGGCGGGGAGGGGCGGGCAGAGCUGGGGGCCCCCCUGGGGGCAGUGGCCCGAGCUGGGACCCUACUGCCAAAUAAAUACAUAUCCAGACUUCGA
rnacentral:lncRNA from 1 species